UGGUGGUGAUAUGGGCAUCUUAUCAAUAAAAAAAUUGAAUCUUUCCCAUGCUUGGUAUAAGUUCUCUCCUCCCUUCUAUUUGAAGCUCAAAAUCUCACUUUGCAAUUU